rnacentral:misc_RNA from 1 species
GUAUAUUAGUGCUUGCGCACAACAAUAGAUUUCAUUACAUUCGAGUGUGUGUAAAAAUCCUCUGCCAGCCGAAGCUAGCAAGAGGCCAGAAGUUCACAGGGGUGUAUUGGAUGAAAGUCACCAACGUGCACUUGCCGGGGCCAGCACUGAGGGCAACGAUUCACAAUCACUAAUGAUCCUUCCGCAGGUUCACCUACGGAAA